GACGAGCGCUGGCGGCGUGCUUAACACAUGCAAGUCGAACGGAAAGGCCUCUUUCGGGGGGUCCUCGAGUGGCGACCGGGUGAGUACUACGUUAGUAUCCUGCCUUUGUCUUUGGGAUAGCUUCAGAAACCUGGGGCUAACUCCGGACAGGAGCUCCUUCUGCUUUGGGGGGGCUGGCGAGUUACGGCGGUUGGGGUUGGGUUCGCGGCUGCUCAGCUUGUUGGUGGGGUAGGGGCUUACCAAGGCUUUGGCGGGUAGCCGGCCUGGGAGGGUGACCGGCCACAGUGGGACUGAGAUACGGCCCAGACUCCUACUGGAGGCAGCAGUGGGGAAUAUUGCACAAUGGGUGGAAGCCUGAUGCAGCAACGCCGUGUGCGGGAUGACGGCCUUCGGGUUGUAAACCGCUUUCGCUCAUGACGAAGCUUUGUGUGACGGUAGUGGGUAAAGAAGCACCGGCUAACUACGUG
rnacentral:rRNA from 1 species